AAUAAAUGCAGUUUUACACUAUUUAUAUCUAAUAUUUGACCGUUCAUCUUAUUUUAAAAUUUUUUUAUGAUUAGUAUUUUUAUUGUUAUUAGAUGAUAAUACAUGAAUAAUACUUUAUAAAUGACUUUUUAGUUUUUUUAUAAAUUUUUCAAAUAAGACGAACGGUAAAACGUUAGACACGGAUACUCACGACUGUACUUAUU
rfam:Oryza glaberrima chromosome 1 Oglab01_0305_19, whole genome shotgun sequence.